UUGAUAAAUCUCCCCCAGAAUUUGUCAGCAUACCUUUCUGACGGGUUGUAGACAUAUACCCCCAUUGUUCUAAUGAAAUGCUAUGAGAAUCCAGCCUGAUACACACCUUGUACAUAUCCAUUUACCCCUACCGAUCCAAUAGGCACUAAUGCACUAUAAAAAAAAGUCAUGCAAGGAUGUAUUUAUGGUAGUUUUUAGCAGGAAAGAGUUUGCACAGAAUAACAACGCUAGGUCUUUAUUACCAGAACAUAUAGCCCUUUAAUUGUGACUUGCGGUACAGAAACCACAGCUGCUCAACCACAAAAUGAAAGAGAACGCAUGACAUCAGCCUGUUUACACUUCCAGAAGACAUGCAAGCCAUUCUGAAACACUAAACCACAUGGCACAUAUGGGAAGAUGAGAGCUUCACAAAACUGACUGAACUGCAAAGAAAUCAUUUGGAUAGCAGUGUAAUCCUAAAGCUUUUAUGUGUAUCAGACAGACCCGAGGCCUUCAACAAUUAUAGAAUUACUUAUCUUUACUGCUUUCUGACUCAGGAACACAAUUGAAUUCUCAUUUCCUGACUACUAUAAAUUUCAGUCAUGGUUACAAUAAACAAAAG